GGUAGUGUAUUGGACAACCAUGGCUCUCACGGGUAACGGGGAAUUAGGGUUCGAUUCCGGAGAAGGAGCCUGAGAAACGGCUACUACAUCUACGGAAGGCAGCAGGCGCGUAAAUACCCAAUCCUGACUCAGGGAGGUAGUGACAAGAUAUAACGACGCGACUAAAAAUCGCGAUUGUAGUGAGGGUAUUCCAAACCGAACCACUAGUACGAUUGGAGGGCAAGUCUGGUGCCAGCAGCCGCGGUAAUUCCAGCUCCAAUAGCGUAUAUUAAAGUUGUUGCAGUUAAAAAGCUCGUAGUUGGAUUUCAAGAGACGCAGCGUGGAUAACACGUCUGCCCUCUACCAGUCUUAGACUGUUACUGUGAGAAAAUUAGAGUGUUUCAAGCAGGCUGUUGCAGGAAUACAUUAGCAUGGAAUAACGAGUGUGUCUAGAAUCUUGGUUAAUUCUAGAUUACGAUUAAUAGGGACAGUUGGGGGCAUUAGUAUUUAAUUGUCAGAGGUGAAAUUCUUGGAUUUGUUAAAGACUAACGUAUGCGAAAGCAUUUGCCAAGGAUGUUUUCA
rnacentral:rRNA from 1 species